GGACCAAUAAAUUGUCCAAAUAAAAGCUUUAAUGUAGUAAUAAUUGCUAUUUAUUAUUUCCAAGAAAAAUGACUCUUUAAACUGUACAAUAUAACAAAUAAUAAUAAUAAUAGUAAUAAUCCCUCCUGCAGAUACAGAGUUUGAUUUGGAAGCUGAUCGAUCUAGACACAGAAACAGGAUCCAGUAACAGAUCUCAGAGAGAACAAAUCGGAAACAAAAGGUGAGCAAAUAAAGGUUGAUUUAC
rnacentral:misc_RNA from 1 species